rnacentral:rRNA from 1 species
UACAGAGGGGGCAAGCGUUGUUCGGAAUUACUGGGCGUAAAGGGCGCGUAGGCGGUGCUCUAAGUCAGGCGUGAAAGCCCUGGGCUCAACCCGGGAAUUGCGCUUGAUACUGGUGCGCUUGAAUCCAGGAGAGGUUGGUGGAAUUCCCAGUGUAGAGGUGAAAUUCGUAGAGAUUGGGAAGAACACCGGUGGCGAAGGCGGCCAACUGGACUGGUAUUGACGCUGAGGCGCGAAAGCGUGGGGAGCAAACAGG